rnacentral:rRNA from 1 species
AGUGAACGCUGGCGGUAGGCCUAACACAUGCAAGUCGAACGGCAGCACAGUAAGAGCUUGCUCUUACGGGUGGCGAGUGGCGGACGGGUGAGGAAUACAUCGGAAUCUACUUUUUCGUGGGGGAUAACGUAGGGAAACUUACGCUAAUACCGCAUACGACCUACGGAUGAAAGCAGGGGAUCUUCGGACCUUGCGCGAUUGAAUGAGCCGAUGUCGGAUUAGCUAGUUGGCGGGGUAAAGGCCCACCAAGGCGACGAUCCGUAGCUGGUCUGAGAGGAUGAUCAGCCACACUAGAACUGAGACACGGUCCAGACUCCUACGGGAGGCAGCAGUGGGGAAUAUUGGACAAUGGGCGCAAGCCUGAUCCAGCCAUACCGCGUGGGUGAAGAAGGCCUUCGGGUUGUAAAGCCCUUUUGUUGGGAAAGAAAAGCAGCAGGUUAAUACCCCGCUGUUCUGACGGUACCCAAAGAAUAAGCACCGGCUAACUUCGUG